rnacentral:rRNA from 1 species
UACAGAGGUCUCAAGCGUUGUUCGGAUUCAUUGGGCGUAAAGGGUGCGUAGGCGGCGCGGUAAGUCGGAUGUGAAAUCUCGGAGCUUAACUCCGAAACUGCAUUCGAUACUGCCGUGCUUGAGGACUGGAGAGGAGACUGGAAUUUACGGUGUAGCGGUGAAAUGCGUAGAUAUCGUGAGGAAGACCAGUGGCGAAGGCGGAUCUCUGGACAGCUCCUGACGCUGAGGCGCGAAGGCUAGGGGAGCAAACGGG